UAUUGGUCAAUGGCCGGAAGGCUGAACCAGCCAAGUCGCGUGAGGGAAUAAGGCCCUAUGGGUCGUAAACCUCUUUUGUCAGGGAGCAAAGGCGUCCACGUGUGGACGAAAGGAGAGUACCUGAAGAAAAAGCAUCGGCUACCUCCGUGCCAGCAGCCGCGGUAAUACGGAGGACGCGAGCGUUAGCCGGAUUUAUUGGGUUUAAAGGGUGCGUAGGCGGAGUGUCAAGUCAGCGGUAAAAUUUCGGGGCUCAACCCCGUCGUGCCGUUGAAACUGACACUCUUGAGUGAGUGAGAAGUAAGCGGAAUGCGUGGUGUAGCGGUGAAAUGCAUAGAUAUCACGCAGAACCCCGAUUGCGAAGGCAGCCUUCCGGCGCCCUACUGACGCUGAGGCACGAAAGUGCGGGGAUCG
rnacentral:rRNA from 1 species